AUCAAAUAGUUUUAGUCUGGAUUACUAGUAGACGUGAUCGCCAUCAUGAUUGAAGUAACACUUAAUGACAGAUUGGGCAAGAAGGUCAGGGUCAAGUGCAACCUCCGAGACACCAUAUCAGACUUGAAGAAGCUUGUGGCUGCCCAGACAGGAACCAAAUGGGAUAGGAUUGUCAUCAAGAAAUGGUACACCAUCUAUAAGGAUCACAUCACAUUAGGAGACUAUGAAAUUUCAGAUGGGGCCAAUCUGGAGCUGUACUACCAGUGAACUUUAUAUUGACUAUCAUGUGAAUGUGCAUUGGAUCACCGGUGAAAAUGAAUAUUCAUUUAGCAAAUGUGCAUUUGAACAAUUAUAGGGUUUGUCAAUGACAAUGACACUCCAAUGACUUUAUGCAUGGAAGCAGGCUGUUGCCAACAUGCCAUGAAUAUGCAUCUCGGUCAAGACCAUUGUGACAGAGAAUUGGCCUGUUCAAUCUUCAGUGUCAAGUUCGGAACAAUGUGAAUUGGUUUUGGAUAAAAGUUCAAAAUGUUAAGGCCUGGUCACACCGCCCGAGCGUUGUUGGAGCGGUAGGGAGGGUAGAAUUUCGCUCACAAAAUUGGGGAAAAAAUCUGAAACAAAAAAAAACAAUCGAAAUAGAAAAUGGUGAACGAUAGCGAGCGGUGAUGACUUUUUCUCUCUGCUCCACGACCGUUACAACAAUGCUCGGGCGGUGUGACUAGGCCUUUAAAGGCAUUCAUGUGAUAUCAAGCUAAUUCAAUAUAACAUGGAAAACAUCACCACUGGUUCCCGAAUGACGGGCAUAUGAAUUACUUGAUAGUGCAACAAACAAAUUCAUUCAUCCCCCCUCUUUUUACUUUCUUUUUAAUAUUUUUAUUCAAGCUAUGUACAUGUAUUAUGUGACUCAUAAACAUUACAAUCAUGUGUGUACUGGGUAUUGAAAAUAAGGUCACCAUCUCACAGUAUAUGUAGCUGCUUAUUUUUUUUGGGGGGGGAUGGGGUUUAUUACAAGGCAAACUCCCUGUUGUACAACAUGCAUUAGAGAUUGCCUCAAAUUAUAUUUUACUUCAUUGUGUUCAUUAUGUGUAAAUCAUUACUUUCUGUCUUUUAUUAUGUGUACUUUUCAUCAAGAAAUAGUGAAUGUGGAAAAUGAUAUGUCUUGUAAAUAAAUGUAGAAAUUUUAAUGUA